rnacentral:rRNA from 1 species
GGACCCGCACAAGCAGUGGAGUAUGUGGUUUAAUUCGAUGCAACGCGAAGAACCUUACCAGGGCUUGACAUCCUGCGAACCUCUGUGAAAGCGGAGGGUGCCUUCGGGAACGCAGUGACAGGUGGUGCAUGGCUGUCGUCAGCUCGUGUCGUGAGAUGUUGGGUUAAGUCCCGCAACGAGCGCAACCCACGUCUUUAGUUGCCAGCAUUUAGUUGGGCACUCUAGAGAGACCGUCGGUGACAAACCGGAGGAAGGUGUGGAUGACGUCAAGUCAUCAUGCCCCUUACGUCCUGGGCUACACACGUACUACAAUGCUACGGACAAAGAGCAGCAAGUUCGCGAGGACAAGCAAAUCUCAUAAACCGUGGCUCAGUUCAGAUCGUAGGCUGCAACUCGCCUACGUGAAGGCGGAAUCGCUAGUAAUCGC